CAUGCAAGAAUUAAUUGAUACCAAAAUGGAGAAACAGAUGGAUCUUGAGUAAGUUUAAGUUAUCCUUUAAAAGGUGGGCAAAGGGAUGCGUGAAUCCCUUCCAAAGCAGCAUCUGCAGGAGAAGAAGACUUGGCCGAAAUAAGUUUUUCAACAUUCUCAGCUUGCAUAAGGUCUAAACACCCAUUCAAAACACACAUGAAGUCAAAACUCUCCUGGAACAUGCACUGCAUAUCCAGCCAGAAUGUAAAAGAAGAUUCAGAAUCUAUAGGCUAUAGCUAAAGCUCACCGAUAAACUCUUAAUCACAUCAAAUAACCAAGACAUCUGUAAUACAAAGAUGGAGGUAAAACUUACUGAACGAAUCUUCAGUUUCUGGCCUGGUUCCACUAAUAUUGCUCCAACAUCAACACAUGUCCUCAAAACACAAUACAAACAAACUUUGCUACUGUGAC
rnacentral:lncRNA from 1 species